rnacentral:rRNA from 1 species
AACUGGCCUCUAAUGUGAGAGGGAACCCACUGGAUUUAAGGCAUAUUAAU